rnacentral:rRNA from 1 species
UACGUAGGGUGCGAGCGUUGUCCGGAAUUAUUGGGCGUAAAGAGCUUGUAGGCGGUUUGUCGCGUCUGCUGUGAAAAUCCGGGGCUCAACCCCGGACUUGCAGUGGGUACGGGCAGACUAGAGUGUGGUAGGGGGAGACUGGAAUUCCUGGUGUAGCGGUGAAAUGCGCAGAUAUCAGGAGGAACACCGAUGGCGAAGGCAGGUCUCUGGGCCACUACUGACGCUGAGAAGCGAAAGCAUGGGGAGCGAACAGG